UCGGGUGACAGGGAGACAGGUGGUGCAUGGUUGUCGUCAGCUCGUGUCGUGAGAUGUUGGGUUAAGUCCCGCAACGAGCGCAACCCCUACGUUUAGUUGCUAACAGGUGAAGCUGAGCACUCUAGACGAACUGCCGUUGACAAACGGAGGAAGUGGGAUGACGUCAAAUCAUCAUGCCCCUUAUGUUCUGGGCUACACACGUGCUACAAUGGUUGGUACAACGAGUUGCGAGUCGGUGACGGCGAGCUAAUCUCUUAAAGCCAAUCUCAGUUCGGAUUGUAGGCUGCAACUCGCCUACAUGAAGUCGGAAUCGCUAGUAAUCGCGGAUCAGCACGCCGCGGUGAAUACGUUCCCGGGCCUU
rnacentral:rRNA from 1 species